AUAAACGGCGAAGCUCCUAACCGAGCCUAGCUUUAUAUUAUUCCUUACAACACCUGUGAACUAUUUGCCCUUUGGGGUACAAAACAACUCCAAACAUAACUGUAAUGAAUGUAAACAACUAUAAUUAAAUA
rnacentral:misc_RNA from 1 species